AACCGAAGUAUUCAGAAAUUUUAGAAGAAUGGGGUAAAUUAACAUGACGUCAGUCAAUUCAGGAAUUGGUAACAGGGCGGAGUGAGCUUGGCGCUAGACAAUUGCUACAAUCAAUUGCGGGUGCCUGGGUGGCGAGGUUGUCUUAAGGUGGGUUGACACGAUCAAAGUACUUUGAUCAAAGUAAGCGCGCGCAUUCACCAGUAGGGAAAUAUUUUUAGGGAAAUGUGACGAUUUAGAAGAAGUUGUUUUUGUUUACAGGGAAUAUGUUUAUUUUGAACCUUUCUUUCAAGAAAUCUAGACGUACUAAUAGGAUUUGAAAACUUAUCUAUAUUAUCGGGUUGACAGAAUUUGUUCUUUGUCUCCUCUUCUGCAUUUAAUAUAACCUGUAUUAUAUCACAGCCAGAAAUAAUUACAAGCUUUCAUUUUCUAAAACCCAUAAACAGAAUUAGAAAGAGCAGUAGUGAAAGUGUUCAGAGAAAAAUGUUUUGACCUUAGGGAGCUUUCAUAAUCAUUUAUAACUUUUUAUCUUAAUUUACUUAAUUACCUUAAUUAAUCUUAAUCUUAUCAGGACUUUUAUAAUCUUAAUUAUGUAUUAGUUAUUUUUGUUCUAAACAUUUUUGGGGGUUAUUGUGGUAGCAAUUUUUUAAAAAAAAAAUUCUUGUACUGGAUCUUUCAUUGGGUUAAUAACAUUUUACUAUGGCCUAUUCAAAAUUGUUAUACAAAAGUUUUUAAAUAUACUUUCUAAACAUGAAAUUUGCUAUUAUAUAUUCUUUGUAAAUUAAAAUUCAAAUUAUAUUUUUAUUAUUAAACAGUUCAAGAUUCUUUCUUUAAAUGUAAACUUCUUCUAAUUGUUUUAUAUUGUAAAAUUUUAAUGUUGAUACUGCAUAAUGUAUAUGCAUGUUACAGAAAAUAUUUAUAAAUCUU